AUCCAGCUGACCGACGAGUCCCAAAUAGGACGAAAUGUGCAUCCUGACUGGAU
rfam:Trichobilharzia regenti genome assembly, scaffold: TRE_scaffold0018697